rnacentral:rRNA from 1 species
GACGUAGGGCGCGAGCGUUGUCCGGAUUUAUUGGGCGUAAAGAGCUCGUAGGCGGUGUGUCGCGUCGGCCGUGAAAACCUGCAGCUUAACUGUGGGCUUGCGGUCGAUACGGGCAUCACUGGAGUUCGGCAGGGGAGACUGGAAUUCCUGGUGUAGCGGUGAAGUGCGCAGAUAUCAGGAGGAACACCGGUGGCGAAGGCGGGUCUCUGGGCCGAUACUGACGCUGAGGAGCGAAAGCGUGGGGAGCGAACAGG